rnacentral:rRNA from 1 species
AGAGUUUGAUCAUGGCUCAGAUUGAACGCUGGCGGCAGGCUUAACACAUGCAAGUCGAACGGUAACAGGGAGAAGCUUGCUUCUUUGCUGACGAGUGGCGGACGGGUGAGUAAUGCUUGGGAAUCUGGCUUAUGGAGGGGGAUAACUACGGGAAACUGUAGCUAAUACCGCGUAAUAUCUUUGGAUUAAAGGGUGGGACUUUCGGGCCACCUGCCAUAAGAUGAGCCCAAGUGGGAUUAGGUAGUUGGUGGGGUAAAGGCCUACCAAGCCGACGAUCUCUAGCUGGUCUGAGAGGAUGACCAGCCACACUGGAACUGAGACACGGUCCAGACUCCUACGGGAGGCAGCAGUGGGGAAUAUUGCACAAUGGGGGGAACCCUGAUGCAGCCAUGCCGCGUGAAUGAAGAAGGCCUUCGGGUUGUAAAGUUCUUUCGGUGAUGAGGAAGGUGUUUGUUUUAAUAGAACAAGCAAUUGACGUUAGUCACAGAAGAAGCACCGGCUAACUCCGUGCCAGCAGCCGCGGUAAUACGGGGGGUGCGAGCGUUAAUCGGAAUGACUGGGCGUAAAGGGCACGCAGGCGGUGACUUAAGUGAGAUGUGAAAGCCCCGAGCUUAACUUGGGAAUUGCAUUUCAUACUGGGUCGCUAGAGUAUUUUAGGGAGGGGUAGAAUUCCACGUGUAGCGGUGAAAUGCGUAGAGAUGUGGAGGAAUACCGAAGGCGAAGGCAGCCCCUUGGGAAUAUACUGACGCUCAUGUGCGAAAGCGUGGGGAGCAAACAGGAUUAGAUACCCUGGUAGUCCACGCUGUAAACGCUGUCGAUUUGGGGAUUGGGCUUUGAGCUUGGUGCCCGUAGCU